UACGAGAGGGCCGCUACCACGCAAGUGGAUGCCAAUCCCCAAAACCUCUCUCAGUUCGGAUUGAAGUCUGCAACCCGACUUCAUGAAGCUGGAUUCGCUAGUAAUCGCGCAUCAGCCACGGCGCGGUGAAUACGUUCCCGGGCCUUGUACACACCGCCCGUCAAGCCAUGGGAGCCGGGGGUACCUGAAGUGCGUAACCGCAAGGAGCGCCCUAGGGUAAAACUGGUGACUGGGGCUAAGUCGUAACAAGGUAUC
rnacentral:rRNA from 1 species